UCGGGCUCCAGGAAUGUAUAUUUCGUCCAUUUAAUAAGAAUUAUAUCCCUCGUCAUGGGUUGGAAAUGUGUGACAGACAUCCCUCCGAGUUGUUUAAACUACAUUUUAACACAAGAACAUAAAAGGAGAGUAUGAGGGAUUGUUGUUUUUGGUUUUGGUUUUGAAGGUCGAUGAACAAAUGAUCACUACUGUGAUUCACAACGUUCAGGAUCAACCUCAGUGAGACUGGUCGACACAUUUGUUAAUGCUGUGUAACAAGCUAACGAGAUGAUGGGAUGGCUAAUUGUUGUUUAUCACAAUACAACAGAGGUUACUUGUUUAAUCAGAACGACUGGUCCUGGUUUGAUCUCUUCAAGAUAACGAUUGUCAAGAGAAAACCUCCUACCUGGAAGACUGGACACUUU